AAAAAAAAAAAAAAAAAAAGGCAAUUAAAAAAAAAAAAAAAGAGCACUGAAGGCAUAGUAAUACACCCUUUAAUGAAAUCCAGGCAUGGACAUCACCCAGGAACCAGACGAAUCCUAAUGCUAAGGUAGCUCCUGACAGAUCAGUAAGUCAGAUCACUGUCUUUCUGCUCAGCUGAAACUGUCUGGGCCCAAGUCAUCAUAUUUGGCUGAAGACCUCUUCUGAUGUUAGUCCUGCAAAUUAGAGCUGGUUUGGAAACUGUCCACGGCUUGUGAUUCUGACAGCUGAGUUGUUUAUGAGGGGGACAUGAUUUGAAUUCCCACAUCUCCCUUCAUCAGAAAUAUUGCUGGGUGGAAAACCCUGAUUACUUCAGAAGAACUUGGACCCAAAUUUGAUGUUGAUGGAAUUGACAUGGAACAGAGGGUGGAAUUUGUGAAAUACAGUUUUCAGAGCUUUGAUAUUCUUUUUUUUCCUUCUCUUGGGAACUAAAGCAGAUUAUCAUUUGCUGAUGUUACAGAAGUGAUUGUGAACAUUGCAUCAAGCCUGAUUCAACACCACAGCUCUUUUUUUGCUAUUCAGGCGCAAAUUAAUUAUUCUGAAGACCAUACCAGAAGAAUUAAAUGUUAGCAAUAUUGGUAAACUGUAAAUGUACAUCAAGUGUCUGACAAAUCUGGAUGGGAAUUUCACAGGAUUUUAAAAGACUUUCUUAAUAUCUGAGCAGUGUUGUUCUUCCAGCAUUUAUUUUGAAAACCCCCGAAAUUUCACAGUUUUCAGCAUUCAUCUGAGAAUUACUCUCUCUUAACCUAAGUGAUCAAGAGUCAUUACUUUCAAAUUAUUUCUGUGGGAAAACAGGCAAUAUAUGGUCAGGUUACAAGCCACAAUUGUACUUCCUGAAAUAAAUAUCCCUUGAUAUUAAAAUAAAAAGAAUAA
rnacentral:lncRNA from 1 species